rnacentral:lncRNA from 1 species
UAUCACUGUAUCGGUCGAAUUGUUAUCGUAGUGUAGCAGGUAACGGCCAGUGAAAGUGUAGUCUAUAGCUAACCAAAGUGCGAAUCACGUGACAUAUGUUGGGAGUGAACUCGUGUUCAUUCAGUAGGCAGUCAGUAAAGCACGAGGAAGGACGCAAAGCGAGGAAGAAAGUAAACCAAUGCAAAUCAUGUGACGCUUGUUGAGAGUGCAUGUUCAUUCAGCGGACUGUUGUUAAAGGACCAAAAAACGAACACAAAGCAAGGAAGGAAGGCUUGAGAGGAGAAACUUUCAUUAUUUCCAUGCAUGGAAACUGAAAUGAUGAUGGUCCUUGUGUAGAUAUCUAGACACUUUGUUCCCAAGGUGAUGUGAAAUGGUGCGAAGUGCUGUGUAUGUCUUCUGCCUUCACUCUACUAAACCACUACUGCAUGGAUCUUCAGUAUGUUCAAUUAGUACUGGAACUGUGAUGACACUGAGGAAAUAUUCUACAAUCUUCACCAUGGUUACGAUUGAAUUGUGAUUCCCAGAUAGCAAUUGCUGUACAGUUUUUGAUAAAGUCCGAUAUCUCUGUUACUAUCAAAGCUAUUGACUUGAAACUGAGGAAAUAUUCUACAAUCUUCACCAUGGUUACGAUUGAAUUGUGAUUCCCACAUAGCAAUUGCUGUACAGUGUAAUGCCAGCAUGUAUGUUUUUCUAAGAAAGGGACAUGGUGUGUCAUGGCGGAAGCUGUGCAUUUGGACAGGUCUGUCUCAGUCUGUGAUAAAUUCUUUGAUCCUUUUGACUGCCAAUCAAGACUACUAACGGAACCAUUAAGGAUCCUGGUGACAAUAUAUCCGCAGAGUGGAGUCGUUUGGGAGCAACAAGUCUACAUUUCUGGGCCAGCAGUUUGCUAGACGACUGUUGUUCUUGUGUUGAGAGAGGUGGAAUUAAGGAUUUUCAAGAUUUGUCUCUGUACUAGGUCUUCAUCUGCCAGCAGUCGCUGAUAUCAGUUUAACUUGUUUGCAAUAUACACUGGACAGAACUUCUUUUUCAAGGACUUUCCAAAAUGAUGAGAGUGGUUGUAUGGUAAUGGCUGUAAGCAUGAAAUCACCUGGCCUUGUGUGGAAGACAUAUAUGAAUCGACCAACCAGAUGUAUACCUCUAAUUUAAAUUGCAUCGUAGCUAAGAAGUUAACUUGGAUCUGCUUCACAGGGAGUCAUUGAUGAUCAACUAAGUAGUAGGAUACAGUUUUCUGAUCAGAUGAAAUUGCUUUAUCUUAUCUGGCUGGAAUUUAAAGAGCUGAGACUACCAUCAGGAAAAUCUAUCAUGUAAUAACACUUACCCAGAACAUUGCUACUGAGUCUACCACACAGUAAUGCUGACUAUGAAAUGGCUAUUGAGUCUACCACACAGUAACACGAACCCAGAGCAUUGCUACUAUGUCCUCUGUACAGUAACAGGAAUUCAGAACAUUGCUACUGAGUCUACCACACAAAGGACAUAGCUAUUAUGAGUUUCCAUGCAGUAACACUGACUUUGAGUAGUCCACACAGGAAAAACACACAGUAACAUUGACUUAGGAUGUUGCUACCGAGUAUUCCACACUGUAAUACUGACCCCAAAGUGUAGCUUUUCUAUGGAAAAUUCAGACAGAUAACUGAAGUUACCUGUCAACAGGUGCAAUAAAAUUUUUAUUAUCUGUUUAUGUUAACACUCCUGAUACUGAAGGCUGGACUCUGCUGAACACUGGAAAAAAAGCGGAGAUAAACAUGCAACAUGCAUCUCCCUGUGGCUGUGUGUGACAUUAGUGCAAAAUUUAUUUAAAGGGGACCGUGAUAUAUAGACAUUAAAAUGUAAUGGUCAAAGUUGGUAGUGAAAACUCGCUGAAUGUGACAUCAAAGUUUAGAUGACUGAGAAAGAAAGACCGUUACACCUACUAGUAAAAAUCUAUAAGAUUAGCUAUUAAAAUAAUGUUUAAAAGUGACAGUCGGUACAGUAAAAUUUGAAUAAUAUGUGUUUUGAUUGAUAAUGUCAAAUAAUAAAGGGUAACUCUUG